CCAAAGGCGGACACCCAACCGACUGAGCCACCCAGGUGUCUCUCUUCUGGAACUCUUCUAAACAGAAAUACAAGAGACACAGCGGGCUACAAAUCAGAAAACAGAGACCGGCAAGAUGGCGGCCCUGUCCUUCAGGAACUCAUGGGCUUGGCGGCAAGAGAGACCCCUAAAAUAUGAUGAGGUUGCAGAUGAUGACCGAAAUCCGCAAAGCACUCACUGAAAUACACACGCGUCUCAGCUGCUGUCCAAAGGAGUCCCGCUACCGAACACUUAAACACCGUGAAUCAUCCCUCUGGACUUUCUCUUUUGGUCAAUUCACAGCAUCGUGGAGGGGGGCACUUUCCCAAAACCAGACACACCCACCCAAAGAAACACGGAGUCCGGAGGGAGAACAUCGUUUUGGUUAGGCAUUCGAAAAUUAAACCUGGAAGUCGAUGAUGACUCAAGUCAAA